rnacentral:lncRNA from 1 species
GGGAGGGCAGGAGGGAGCCGCCGGGAGCGGGCCAGCGGACCAGCUACGCCGCGGUCGGCUUGCGGAGCGGGAGGCAGCGGCCGGAGAGCCAGGCGGAACCUGCGGGGGCGGAGGCGGCGGUGGCAGCCGGGGCGCAGAGAGCAGGAACAGGAAGUACCAGGAUUCCCGGAACAGAAAAUGAAGCCUUUGCUUACGCCAGUCCUUUGAAGGAAGGAGGGGGAGGUGGGGAGGUAAUGUUCCCUGUUAAAAACUCAGGGUCUUUUAAUUAAGUCGUAACUCUCUGUUGAGAGACUUGAUUCUUUCUGGGGGUUAUAUUGCCGCUGGUCUCUGGGCCAGGAAGAAUGUGGUGGAGGAGUAUGUGGUCAGGACUAAGAAGAAAAUAGUGAGGUCAUUAGGGUGAGGGAGACGGGUAAUGUAAAACCUGUCUCUGCCGCUGUUGGAUUGGGUCACCCUUGGGUCCAUGGCAUGAAAGUUUUAUUGGGAGGAGAUCUGCUGCAGGAGUCUGAUUGCUUGAGUCAUUGCAACAGGAAAGAAU